UAUCGCUUUCUCUUCCUCUUCUUUCUCCCACAUAUCUUUCUGAAAUACAAAAAACACAUGCCAUGUAACAUAUACUGGAGUUACAUCACCCACCACCUUGAGACUAAAGAUAUGCUUUAAAUCAUAAACAAAUAAGAUACUUUUACAUAUGUUACUUUGUACUAUAUUUUUGUCGAGCUCAGAUUAUUAAUCCGAAAGCUUCUUAUUGUAUAAUUGUAGCGCUAAAUGGGUGGAUUUAGCGUUCCUAAAUUUGAGAACUCAAGUUUAGAGAAAUUUCAAUUCCAUCUAUACACAAAUGGGCUACUUGGAUCCAUUCUCCUUUCGCUAUUCCUACACAACCUUAAAGGGCAGGGAAGCAAGGUUAUAGUGGUAUGGAAAAGCUUUGUAAUUCAACAUUUUAUGGUAAUAUGUUUUCAUUUCUAAAAAUUUCUGAACUCCUUCAAUUAGUUAAUGAUCGGUCUUGAACUUAAACACAUGUCUCACAACUGGCUAUGGGAAGGUGAGUCCGGAACCAAAAUGCCCCCAAAAAAAAUAUUUUGAACCAAAAUACCCCAACAAAAAAUAAAGUUACCAAAGUACCCAUAGCGCAGUAAAAUACUGCGCUAUAGCACUAACGGAGACGGAGUCGUUAAGUGCUAUAGCGCAGUAUUUUACUGCGUUAUAGAAAAAAUUUGUUUUUUUUGGUACUUCUAUAACGCAGUAAAAUACUGCGUUAUAGAAGAACCAAAAAAAAAAAAUGGCCAACUUUAUUUUUUGCAACACUUAGUGUUAUUUUUCAUACUUUGACCAAUAAUUAGUCGUGUGUCAAGAUUCCGAAACGUCAAUAUUUUAUAUAGAACCUGAUAUUUUUUUCUGCGUACAAUAAUGUAGGCUCAAUACAUCAAGGAUACGUAAACGUUCGGAUCGUCAUUUUAGGGGUUGAAAAGGUGCCCGAAGCCCAAUACAUCAAGGAUACGUAGACGUUCGGAUCGUCAUUUUAGGGGUUGAAAAGGUGCCCGAAGUAAGUUUUGUUUGAUAAAACUUAGUGUUUGACUGUAAGGUUAGUUUAGUCAACUUUAUGUGUCGAGAAAAUUAGUCAGCUUUAUUUUCAAAAAUUGAAACCGUAGAAGUGAAAUUGACAUUCACAGCUACAUUACCCCGGGAUUUUUACGUUGAAAUUUAUUGCGUAUCACCAUCUUAUAAGUAAAUAAAACUGAAAAGUUCAUGCCAAUUUGGGGGAAAAUCGAAAUUGAAUGGGAUAAAAGGCGUUUUUUUUAAAAUCGGCUUGGCCAAACCGCCUUGCGGCAGUUUGUCCGCAUAGAUCUUGAAAAAAUACGCAAGUUAAAAAAAAAACAAACGCGUAAAACGGA